AGCUUUCUGCAGGGGUGGUAUCAUAGCCAAUGAGGUUUACCCUAGGCACAAUUAUUGCUAAUUGAAAACCUUUCCCAAAUAUGGUCAUACCCACAGGUACCAGUGGUUAGGAUUUGACCUACCCGGAGG
ensembl:snRNA U4 U4 spliceosomal RNA